CGUAACAAAAGUAAAAUUUAUAAUUAAUGGCUCCUUAAUUGGAGUAUUUCUAAAGUUAAUUAUAAAUAAGGGAGGAUAGUUUAGUUUCCUUUUAAAAAUUUUAAUUUUUUUAAGGGGCUAGCUCGCACUCCCGGGGCGUCUUACACUCAUUGCGAGUAAAGGCGCACCAAGAGCGUACACGUUGGGACCCGAAAGAUGGUGAACUAUGCAAGGCCAGGAUGAAGCCAGGGGAAACCCUGGUGGAGGUCCGUAGCGAUUCUGACGUGCAAAUCGAUCGUCAGAGUUUUGUAUAGGGGCGAAAGACCAAUCGAACUAUCUAGUAGCUGGUUCCCUCCGAAGUUUCCCUCAGGAUAGCUGGUGCUAAUGAUGACAAGAGUCUCAUCUGGUAAAGCGAAUGAUUAGAGGGCUUGGGGCCGAAACGACCUCAACCUAUUCUCAAACUUUAAAUGGAUGAGAGCCUUGGCUUGCUUAAAUAUAUUAAAAUAAUAGCUCUUGUAGUUAUUAUUGUUUUUGUGAAGCCAGGGACUUUGGAUCAAAGUACCAAGUGGGCCAUUUUUGGUAAGCAG
rnacentral:rRNA from 1 species